CUACUGAAACUCCUGAACACCGCUGGACUUCCAGGAGCACCUGAGUUCGGUUCUACACAACUUAGAAGGGCACUGUUCAAUGGAAAUGUUCCCACGAACAAGGUGAACAAGCUCCAGGGUAAGAACAUGUUCGGUAAGACUAUGUUCGGUAGUUUGUUCGGUAUUUAAAACUACUGAAUUAGACAGACCACAAGCCCUGAUUCUCUGGAACUGUUUUGGGCAUGGGAC